GACGAACGCUGGCGGCGUGCUUAACACAUGCAAGUCGAACGGAAAGGCCCUGCUUUUGUGGGGUGCUCGAGUGGCGAACGGGUGAGUAACACGUGAGUAAAAUGCCCUUGAAUUUGGGAUAACUUCUGGAAACUGGGGCUAAUACAGGAUAGGAGAUCCUGCACCAUGGGGGGGGUUGGAAAGUUACGGCGGUUGGGGAUGGACUGGCGGCUUAUCGGCUUGUUUGUGGGGUAGUGGCGUACCAAGGCUUUGACGGGUAGCCGGCCUUGGAGCGUGACCGGCGUCCAUGCGCCUACGGUACGGCGCAGACUCGUACGUUAGGCAGCAGUGGGGAAUAUUGCACAGUGGGCCGGAGUGUGAGGCGGAAGCGCCGCGUUCGGAAUGCCGUCCUUCGGGUGAAAAACCGCUGUGGCCUGAGACGAAGCGUUAGUGACGGUAAUGGGUAAAGAAGCACCGGCUAACUACGUG
rnacentral:rRNA from 1 species